GAGAGCCCGGUGCGGUGAGAGUCGCACGCCGGGUUCGGCGGGCGGCCCGGGGAAACGGAGCGACAGCAAUGUCGCCACCGCGCCCCGGGCCGACCCAAC
rnacentral:ncRNA from 1 species